UGGAUGAUGUGGAUUAAUUCGAUGCAACGCGAAAACCUUACCUACCCUUGACAUGUCUGGAACCUUGGUGAGAGCCGAGGUGCCUUCGGGAGCCAGAACACAGGUGCUGCAUGGCUGUCGUCAGCUCGUGUCGUGAGAUGUUGGGUUAAGUCCCGCAACGAGCGCAACCCUUGUCACUAGUUGCCAUCAUUUAGUUGGGCACUCUAGUGAGACUGCCGGUGACAAACCGGAGGAAGGUGGGGAUGACGUCAAGUCCUCAUGGCCCUUAUGGGUAGGGCUUCACACGUCAUACAAUGGUCGGUACAGAGGGUUGCCAAGCCGCGAGGUGGAGCCAAUCCCUUAAAGCCGAUCGUAGUCCGGAUCGUAGUCUGCAACUCGAGAGCAUGAAGUCGGAAUCGCUAGUAAUCGCAGGUCAGCAUACUGCGGUGAAUACGUUCCCGGGUCUU
rnacentral:rRNA from 1 species